UACGGGGGGAGCAAGCGUUGUUCGGAUUUACUGGGCGUAAAGAGCGUGUAGGCGGCCAGGUAGGUCUGGUGUGAAAACUCGAGGCUUAACCUCGAGAUGUCAUCGGAAACCAUCUGGCUAGAGUCCGGAAGAGGAGAGUGGAAUUCCUGGUGUAGCGGUGAAAUGCGCAGAUAUCAGGAGGAACACCGAUGGCGAAGGCAGGUCUCUGGGCCACUACUGACGCUGAGAAGCGAAAGCAUGGGGAGCGAACAGGG
rnacentral:rRNA from 1 species